rnacentral:misc_RNA from 1 species
CGCACCUUGCACCCUUUGGUAUUCCGAGGGGUAUGCCUGUUUGAGUGUCAUUAAAUUCUCAAACUCAAUGUGGUUUUUAACCGUGUUGAGGCUUGGAUUUGGAGGUUGCAGGCUUUAACAAGUCGGCUCUUCUUAAAUGCAUUAGUGGCUUGUCGAUCCCCAUUUUUUGGUGUGAUAGUAAUAUCUACAUCAUGAUGAAUGGCUAGGUCAUGCGAUGACAAUAUGGCUGCUUUCUAACCGUCCUAUGGGACAACUUGAACCAUUUGGCCUCAAAUCAGGUAGGACUACCCGCUGAACUUAA